UACAGAGGUCCCGAGCGUUGUUCGGAUUCACUGGGCGUAAAGGGUGCGUAGGUGGCAUGUUAAGUUUGAUGUGAAAGCUCAGGGCUCAACCCUGAAAUGGCAUUGAAUACUAGCGUGCUGGAGGUUUGGAGGGGGGACUGGAAUUCUCGGUGUAGCAGUGAAAUGCGUAGAUAUCGAGAGGAACACCAGUGGCGAAGGCGAGUCCCUGGACAACACCUGACACUGAGGCACGAAAGCUAGGGGAGCAAACGGG
rnacentral:rRNA from 1 species